CCCUUAGAUGUUCUGGGCCGCACGCGCGCUACACUGACGAAGUCAGCGAGCAUGUCCUACGCCGACAGGUGCGGGGAAUCUUAUCAAACUUCGUCGUGAUGGGGAUUGAUUAUUGAAAUUCUUGAUCAUCAACGAGGAAUUCCUAGUAAGCGCAAGUCAGCAGCUUGCGUUGAUUACGUCCCUGCCCUUUGUACACACCGCCCGUCGCUACUACCGAUUGAAUGGUUUAGUGAGAUCUUCGGAUUGGCGCCACUGCGGCUCAGCAAUGGGCUCGGUGGAUGCCGAAAAGUUGAUCAAACUUGAUCAUUUAGAGGAAGUAAAAGUCGUAACA
rnacentral:rRNA from 1 species